UUCAUAACUCUCAAUGUUAUCCUUCUUAACCCAACUUCCAUUGUAGCAUACCAAAAUUCCAACUGUAUCCACUUCUGCAAAUAACAUAAAUAAUUACUACACCAAUUCAUAACACUAAAAAAUAAAAAAUAGAUGAAUAAAAACAUGCACAACAGUCAUUCCACUACACAUAUCAUCUUCUAAAUCCUCAAAUCUUCAAACUCAAAUUGUAGCUGCUUCAACAAGUAACUUUUAU
rnacentral:lncRNA from 1 species